UUCUUCAUUGUUUGGAAGUGGAGACUGGAGUUCUACUUGGAGUAGAGGCUGAAGAGAAUCUGCUGACUGGACCUGAGACCUUAUUCCUGGUGAGGCUGUUCUAAAAUCUCUUCCUUUAAACUGACACGUGGUAUUUUGAUAAAAAUGGCAAGCUGGCCAUUGAAGGAAGAAUAGGAUCUGGACAGCUGAUGAUAAGGAUGGAGAAGAAGAAAUAGAAUCCACCAAAUCAUGGAAUUCAAGUGUUUUAAGUACAAUUGAAGAAGAAGAACUACUCUAAGCAAGAAAUCUUGCUUGCUACAUAAGAAGGCGAGGAGAGCAUCUAAAUGCUAUUGGCCCAAUAGUUCAGGUGAGAAUUAUAAUUCCCUUUUUUCAAUUUUCUCUAUGUUCCCUGAUGUAUAAAUGAUUUGAGAAUGUUCCAGAUAAGGCAGAUGCCUGUGACUCAAUGGACCAUUUAAAAUAUAUUUAUUUAUUAAAAGUCAUUUAUUAAUUUUUUAGAACAUUUUUCCAUGGUUAUAUGAUUCAUGUUCUUUCCUACCCCUCUUCCCCCCUCCCUGAGCUAACAAGCAAUUCUAUUGGGUUAUUCAUAUAUCACUGCUCAAAACCCAUUUCUGUAUUAUUAAUAUUUGCAAUAGAGUGAUCAUUUAAAGCAAUGGACCAUUUUUUUACAUGCACCAGGAAGUGGAUGAUUUAAUGUCAUCAAUUGCCCACACAACUUUGGAGGAUAUCUACUGACCUGGAAUGAGGUGAAGGAUUUCCAUAGAAUGACAAUAAAGUGGCCAUUGCUCCCUUCCUAUUCUAGUACACAUUCUCUAAUCAAUAGAUCUUAUCAAAAGGAACAGGGACCUCUGACUCUCUCUACAUUUGGACACAUCUGUUCUGGAAGAGAUACUCAUUCACCUAAAAAGGGGAAAGGACACACAGAGAGGGAAAUAACCCUAGAUUUCAUGAUCACCUCAUUGAAUCUUUUAUUUUAUCUGCUACAUGGUUGUAUUCCCCACAAUCCUUAAAAAAUGAACAACAACAGAACCUGUGAACCUGCAAAAUGACCAAGGUUAUGAGUUGAUUCAAAGGAUUCUCAUCUCACAGAAUCUUCAAAGCUUAAAAGGGCUACAAAAUGACUAAGAUCCCAGAGCAGAACCAAAAGACCCCUGUGGAUUAUAACCACUCAUAACAAUCAACUCAGACAAAGAAAUACCAACAUGGAAGCUUCUGAACAAAUGAUGGUGAUACGUGAACUUUUUUGAGGGAAACACCUGGGGAAGAGUUUUGUGAUAGUGAUAAAAAGUACUGAAUUGUGGUCACCAGAAAACACAUAAAGAUUAUCCUUAAAGAGUCUAGCCUUAUUUAUUGAAGGAGAUCUAACCUUAUUUAUUGAAGCCUUAUUUACAGAAAGAAAUGGUUGAAAAUGUGUUAACUUAUUGACUUCAGGUUAAAGAAACUAAUUAGUAACUAAAUUCUAACCCUAAUUAGAAAUUAUACUAUGGGUGGCCAAAAUUGUUGUUGUUUGUUCUUCAUUUUCCAGCAACAUCAUGGGAUGAUGUCUUGAACUGCUUGUGAUUUGCACAAAGUCAUCAUCUUCACACUCUAUUCCAGAGUUAUCAAAGUCUAAUGGCAUGACUAGUCAGGAAGACUGGUCAUGGUCCAGAAUGAAGUAUAUGACCUUGAAAUCUUCAGAGCCUAAGUUCUAAGGGCUCCAGAUACCUGCUUCCAAUUACCUUAGAGGCCAUUGGAACAAAAUAUUCUCAUCCACUCCUUCUUCUGAGGUAAGUCUUCACAUGCUUUGAGUGAGCAUCCCCUAACUCACUGAUAAACAUUAAGUCUGUCAAUUAACCUCAAACUGGUUUAACCCUUCUGCCAAGAUGGUUUUACUGGGGUGUGGGCAGCUUUUUGGAACUGAAAGGUGGACAUCAAGGUGGGUAAUUAGCCCUGAAAAGUUCUUAGCAAGCUCCCACAUCAGAGAUGCUAGUCCUCCCUGAAUAUCCCAUACACUCCAACUAUUAUAAACCAUAAUUAUACAUCAAAACUUGUUAAAUUAAUUUUAACUUCAUAAAUGAAUAAAAACAAAUUAAUAUACUAAGGAUAUGUCCAUGUUUAUAUUUGAGAAUUCAACAAAUAACUUUCAAUGGAACUGCUUCAUUGUCUCAGAUGAAACUAUCAAAACAAAUACCUAAUAAUAACAUUAACCCAUAGAAAUUUAAUAACAUCUGUAAUAAAUAGACUUCACCUUACCAAAUAUCCAUGGUUCCCAAACUACAUGGAGAUAAACAUUUUGAAAAUAUAAGAAUCCAGUGAAAGAAAUCCAAAUCAUAUUGGCACAGGAGGAGGUCCACAUCAUCUUGGUGAUUCUUGGAAUCAUCUCAUUGCUGCACAAAAGAUGAGCUUCUAUCCAAAUUCUUACUCAGUUGCAAAAAGCAGUCAUUUUAUCCACCUUUGCAAUAGUCCACAGCACAUUAAAUGUGUAGGGUCAUGUCUCAUAAAGCUCUAUUCUCAGAGAAUAGACUGUGCAUUCCCCCUGCUGCCAGCUCACGUAUAAGAGACUGAAGAGCUCAUUUCCAGAAAGGUGUGAUAAUAUAUAAUAGAAAGUUCCUGCUCUCUAAUUCAAUGCAUCUGAAAAUGCCUUGACUAUUCCUAGCCCUCUUACCAUAUGAAGAAGAGUUUUUUUGAUUGGCUGCUGAUUCUGAACUGUGAAUUCCUUCAAAAGACACUAGCUGGCCAAAGUGUUUUCUCUUUUCUGCCUACCUAUAUUUGAGUGAGGAGGAAUUGAUUACUUGAAGUCUUCACUGUGGAGAGAGUCCUCAGUCCUUUCCAAACACAAGGCACCAACCAAGUGGUCUGCAAACACACAAUCCUACUGUUACUUUUGUCUCUCUUCUGUCUACUUUUUCCUACUUUAAAUGAAGCAGUAUUAGAAAUGGUAGAGGUCUAUGAGGUGUCUAGAGAGAAUGAUCUCUAGAAUGAUCUAUUGUGAUGGCUUGCCAAACCAUUUUCAGUUUUGCUUGUAUAUCUUUGGUGUUCCCUUUUUAACCAACUCUCACCUGUGGCUCCAAGAAGCUGUAGCAUUUGCAGGGACCACAUUCUGGUAAAACCUUCUCACUUUGUUGGUAGAUGGGCUAAAGCAGCCUGAGGGUAAGCAACAGACCUCAAACACAUCAUUGAGUUACCAGUUGUCUACCCCAACCAUGUGAAGACUUUUUCUUUUAGAAUAGAUGGUUCAGAGAGUGACUGAGGCAGGGGCUGUGAAGCCCUUAAAGAUGUGGUCAGACAUCAGAAGAUACCAAGAUCAUUCACUGCAUCAGUCAUCUUGACUUUUGUCUUGAUUUUGUACAAUUCUGCUUCAUUUAAAUACAAUUCACCAGAAAGGUAAAAGAUUACCAUGUGAUGUCACUGGUCCUCCUAGAUACAAAGAAUGAACAUCAAUAAAUUACAGAUGCUUAUGACCUUGUGAAUUUCAGAAGUUUAGAAUAAUGAAUGCCAGAAAUAUGGGAACUAGAAUUCAGGAUGAGGUAUAAUGGAAUCUAAGGACAGACAGAGCAAUAGCAGAGGCUCUAAACAGAUACUGACUUGCUUGACCCAGUCCAGCAAUGGUAAACAACCAACACAUUUCCAAUGGCAAUGCCCCAUUCUGAAAUUAACUUGUAGGGAAACUGCUUGAAGUAUGAAUUUACCCUCGUAAGGAACCAAGGUAGAAUAUAGGAGAUUUUGC